AGGAGGAACAGCCCCAGUGGCGGGGCCGCUCUGGAAACCUGGAUUCAGCCCCCGCAGGAACUCCGGAGCUCUCGGUCUGCAGGGCCUGGAGGCUCCGGGGCGGG
rnacentral:pre_miRNA from 1 species